rnacentral:misc_RNA from 1 species
GAUGAAGAACGUAGCGAAAUGCGAUAACUAAUGUGAAUUGCAGAAUUCCGUGAAUCAUCGAGUCUUUGAACGCACAUUGCGCCCCCUGGUAUUCCGGGGGGCAUGCCUGUCCGAGCGUCAUUACAACCCUCAAGCCCGGCUUGUGUAAUGGGCGGCCGUCUCUCCCCCCGGGGGGAGACGCCCCCGAAACUCAGUGGGGAUGUCGCGAUACCGAAGCCUCAGCUAAUGGGUAAACCACAGCUGCAAUGGCCGCGGCCGGCGUCCGCCUUCCACGGUCCGUCCGCCUAGCGCGGGCGGCCUUCUCAAGGUUGACCUCGGAUCAGGUAGGGAUACCCGCUGAACUUAAGCAUAUCAAUAGCGGAGGA